rnacentral:rRNA from 1 species
AUUGAACGCUGGCGGCAGGCCUAACACAUGCAAGUCGAACGAGUGGCGGACGGGUGAGUAAUGUCUGGGAAACUGCCUGAUGGAGGGGGAUAACUACUGGAAACGGUAUCUAAUACCGCAUAACCUCGGAUGUGCCCAGAUGGGAUUAGCUAGUAGGUGGGGUAAAGGCUCACCUAGGCGACGAUCCCUGGCUGGUCUGAGAGGAUGACCAGCCAAACUGGAACUGCGACACGGUCCAGACUCCUACGGGAGGCAGCAGUGGGGAAUAGUGCACAAUGCGCGCAAGCCUGAUGCAGCCAUGCCGCGUGUAUGAAGAAGGCCUUCGGUUUGUAAAGUACUUGCAGCGGGGAGGCGUUACCCGCAGAAGAAGCACCGGCUAACUCCGUGCCAGCAGCCGCGGUAAUAC